rnacentral:rRNA from 1 species
UACCUACGGGGGGCAGCAGUGGGGAAUAUUGCACAAUGGGGGAAACCCUGAUGCAGCGACGCCGCGUGAGCGAAGAAGUAUUUCGGUAUGUAAAGCUCUAUCAGCAGGGAAGAAAAAAAUGACGGUACCUGAGUAAGAAGCACCGGCUAAAUACGUGCCAGCAGCCGCGGUAAUACGUAGGGGGCAAGCGUUAUCCGGAUUUACUGGGUGUAAAGGGAGCGUAGACGGCAGUGCAAGUCUGAAGUGAAAGCCCCGGGCUUAACCCGGGAAUUGCUUUGGAAACUGUACGGCUGGAGUGCUGGAGG